GCCUGGCACCUGUCUGCAGCUGAGAAGUACUUCUCCGACAGACUGUAUUCUGGUUCCACACUGAAGGUCCUAUCCGAUUAUUUUAGGAGGUGGAGGCACCUGUCUGGCCAGAGGGUCUCGGCAGCACGGAAAAGACCAGUCCCAAAGGAUACAGUGGAAAGCAAAUAGCUGAAGGAGCAUCACAGCUUGUAUAUGGCAGUGGGGGAAGUGGGCACAGGCUAAAGGAAAGGGAAAAAAGCCCAGGAAGGAAGGAAAGGUGAAGAAACAAUCCUGCAAGGGGGGGCAGGAGGAAGAAAGUGGGCAAGGGGGGUAGGAGAGAGAUGGAAAGAACUGCAGUGUGGUUGUGCCAGACCACAUUGCGCUGCUCAAAGCACACACAGGUGUAAGAGAAGGUAAGCUGUGAAGCCAGCACCCUGCACAAGUGUGUGACACAGGCACCGUAGCAACCUGAAGGCCUCGCUGCUUUGAGUUGCAGCAAUUGAAUACCAUCUGGCCACGCUGCACCCACAGCCAUGCUGUGUUAGCCUGGGAUCAGAUGACAGCAACAGAAGGACUAAAGUUCCUGGGACGGAAAUUCCUCUGUCCUUCUCCAAGGAUGUGCAGCACAACACAGUCCACAGCUCCUGUUCCCAGCUGCAGAGGGGUGGCAUCACCUCUGCUCUCAGGGUUCCUGAAAUGCCCUAGGCAUUUCAACGGCCAAAUCCACACACAGCUUAAAUGACGAUAGCAGAUGACACAUGAGAACACUCACUGAAGUCAGCCACUGCACACAGCAAUACAGUACUGUACUACAGCUCUCCACCAAUUCACUUCCCAGUCCGGUGUAAAAGGGAAGAAAACAAACCAGUUCUGAAGGAGAGUUUUUCAAGCAAAAGAAAUAUCCUACAACACGUGCUGCGAUUGCUACAAACCAUGCAGCUGGGGGUGAGGUGUUGACAUAUCAGGUUGACACCUGAUGUGAACAGCCAGAAAGGUGGCCUUGUUAGGAGAAAAUUACUGAAUGGAAGAAACUGCCUGCUGAAAAAUACUGACAAAGAAAAUAUCUGCCAGCCUGGGAACUGUGAGGCUGGAAACUAGAAACAUCCUUGAAAAGUGCAGCUGGCCUCUUUGAAGUACAGCUGUGGUACCUAGAAAUCAGAAGCAUCCUGAAAUACCACCAAUAAGCACAAAAACAAGGGACUGUAAAGGCAAUUUAUUGUCUGAAAAGGUGGAAAAUACUCUGGAAAAAACAAAAAUGGUCUGAAAGAACAGAAACCUCAUCAUCUAUUGGCUGUUACAGGUGAAAAAUAGGAAAUUAGAAAUAGAAACACCAGCAUCUAUUGGCUGCUUGCAGUGGUGGUGUCCUCCACUCUCUUAUGUCUCUAUGACAUAAAAAGGACUUAAUUUUUAAUCCAAAAUGGAGCCCCUCUCUCUGAGAACUUCCCGUGCUGCACAUACUUUUCCUUUCCUGAACAGGCUGAAUUCUCCACACAAACUUUCUACGAGAUCCUGCACUCUCAUUCGGGAUGCCUGGCUGACUCCAGACUCUGUGAUGCAGAUUAUCUUUGAAGUGAGACCCUGUUAUUUUCUUGGUCCCCUUCUGGGCCCACUUUUGGGCUUCAGUUUGUCCUCCCCUCCGGGAUGGUUUGGCCCCUUCUGAAAUCUCUCUAACUCACUUCAUACUGAUAUUAUAUAUCCUUAUAGGUAGUCAAUCAGAAGUACAUCAGCUGUUAUAUUGUUGGUAAGUUUGCUUCACUAAUGCUAAGUUUGUAGUAGCCUGUAAUAGUAUAUACCUACUUGGUGGUAUUUGUGGUAAUCUGUAAUAAAGUAGAGAAAUUUAGA